rnacentral:rRNA from 1 species
UACGGAGGAUGCAAGCGUUAUCCGGAAUGAUUGGGCGUAAAGCGUCCGCAGGUGGCUGUGUAAGUCUGCUGUCAAAGAGCGAAGCUCAACUUCGUAAAGGCAGUGGAAACUACACGGCUAGAGUGCGUUCGGGGCAGAGGGAAUUCCUGGUGUAGCGGUGAAAUGCGUAGAGAUCAGGAAGAACACCGGUGGCGAAGGCGAGUCCCUGGACAAUUCCUGACGCUGAGGCACGAAAGCCAGGGGAGCAAACAGG